rnacentral:ncRNA from 1 species
AUCGUGAGGUAUGGGAUGAAAGAAGAGCGUAGCAAACAGACUUGGCAACGGAAAGAAACUUGAUACAAGGCGAUUGACCUGUGAUGAGAUAACCACACAUAUCAAAGUCACGAACGACCGUAAAAGUCAGUCAGUAAAUCAAGUG